UACGGAGGAUGCAAGCGUUAUCCGGAUUUGUUGGGUUUAAAGGGUGCGUAGGCGGAUAUGUAAGUCAGCGGUGAAACUCACAGGCUCAACCUGUGCCGUGCCGUUGAAACUGUGUAUCUGGAAUGCGGAUGCUGUGGGAGGAAUGUGUAGUGUAGCGGUGAAAUGCAUAGAUAUUACACAGAACACCGAUUGCGAAGGCAUCUCACAAAGCCGUUAUUGACGCUGAGGCACGAAGUAGUGGGGAGUCAAACA
rnacentral:rRNA from 1 species